GACGAACGCUGGCGGCGUGCUUAACACAUGCAAGUCGAACGGUGAAGCGCCUUCCUUUUUGGUGGGUGUGGAUGAGUGGCGAACGGGUGAGUAACACGUGAGUAACCUGCCCCCUUCUUCUGGAUAACCGCAUGAAAGUGUGGCUAAUACGGGAUAUUCUGGGUCUGUCGCAUGAUGGGUCUGGGAAAGAUAUUGUUUCGGUGGGGGAUGGGCUCGCGGCCUAUCAGCUUGUUGGUGGGGUGAUGGCCUACCAAGGCGGUGACGGGUAGCCGGCCUGAGAGGGUGGACGGUCACACUGGGACUGAGACACGGCCCAGACUGCUACGGGAGGCAGCAGUGGGGAAUAUUGAACAAUGGGCGAAAGCCUGAUGCAGCGACGCCGCGUGAGGGAUGGAGGCCUUCGGGUUGUGAACCUCUUCCGCCAGUGAAGCAGGCCUGCCUCGUUUGUGGGUGGGUUGACGGUAGCUGGAUAAGAAGCGCCGGCUAACUACGUG
rnacentral:rRNA from 1 species